AGGUUGGCUCAGAAGCAGCCAUCCUUUAAAGAGUGCGUAACAGCUCACUAGUCGAAUGACUCUGCGCCGAUAAUUUACCGGGGCUAAGCAUACUACCGAAGCUAUGGAUCCCAAGGGAUGGUAGGGGAGCGUUCCAUGAACGGAGAAGUACGACCGAAAGGACGUGUGGAGAUCAUGGAAGAGAGAAUGCCGGUGUGAGUAGCGGAACGUGGGUGAGAAUCCCACGCACCGAAAACCCAAGGUUUCCAGAGGAAGGUUCGUCCGCUCUGGGUAAGUCGGGACCUAAGGCGAGGCCGAAAGGCGUAGUCGAUGGACAACAGGUAGAGAUUCCUGUACCCGUAUAUAUGUGAAGGAAUGACGGAGAGAGGAAGCUGCAGCCAGCGGCUGGAAGAGCUGGUGCAAGCGAGAUAUCGGGAUGGCAGGCAAAUCCACCAUCCGAAACGAGAAGGCGUGAAGCGUACGGAAAGCUACGGCGAGUACGGAAGGCAGUGGAGGAACUUCCAAGAAAAGUUUCUAACGUUAAGUAUAUAUGGCCCGUACCGAAAAUGGACACACAUGGGUGAGGAGAGAAUCCUAAGGUGAGCGAGAGAACUAUAGCUAAGGAACUCUGCAAAAUGACUCCGUAACUUAGGGAGAAGGAGUGCUCAUAGAGAUAUGAGCCGCAGUGAAACGGCCCAAGCGACUGUUUACCAAAAACACAGCUCUCUGCUAAGCCGCAAGGCGAAGUAUAGGGGGUGACGCCUGCCCGGUGCUGGAAGGUUAAGGGGAGGGGUUAACGCAAGUGAAGCCCUGAACUGAAGCCCCAGUAAACGGCGGCCGUAACUAUAACGGUCCUAAGGUAGCGAAAUUCCUUGUCAGGUAAGUUCUGACCCGCACGAAAGGCGUAACGAUUUGGGCGCUGUCUCAGCUGUAGACUCGGUGAAGUCUUAGUACCUGUGAAGAUGCAGGUUACCCGCGACUAGACGGAAAGACCCCAUGGAGCUUCACUGCAGGUUGAUAUUGGGAUUUGAUGCAGCAUGUACAGGAUAGGUAGGAGGCAAAGAGAUGGAUACGCCAGUAUUCAAGGAGCCGCUGUUGGGAUACUACCCCUGUUGUAUUGGAUUUCUAACCGGACGACGUAGAGCCGUUGACGGGACAGUGUCAGUCGGGCAGUUUGACUGGGGCGGUCGCCUCCCAAAGAGUAACGGAGGCGCCCAAAGAUACCCUCAGCUUGGAUGGAAACCAAGCGCAGAGUGCAAAGGCAAAAGGGUGUUUGACUGCGAGACCUACAAGUCGAGCAGGGACGAAAGUCGGGCUUAGUGAUCCGGCGGUGCUGAAUGGAAAGGCCGUCGCUCAACGGAUAAAAGCUACCCUGGGGAUAACAGGCUGAUCUCCCCCA
rnacentral:rRNA from 1 species